CCAGACAUAGUGUCAGAUAUCUAACCAUGCAGCUAGCAUACUUGUAGUGAUACAUGUGUGUCUCUCCCCUGCCCUAACCACACCCCCUCACACACGUGCAGGUGUUGGCAAGUCCACCCUCCUCCGCUCUAUGGCGUGUCAUGAGCUGCGUCUACCAGCUGGUGUGAGUGUACUACACGUGGAGCAAGAGGUCACCGGGGACAACACACUAGCACUGGAUAGUGUACUCAAGUGUGACACUGAGAGAGUGCAGCUGCUCGCUAGAGAGGGGGAGCUACUGCAUGGCCUCAGGGGACAAGAACACAGCAGCAGGCAGCGCUUCUGAUGAGCUGGCUGAGGUAUACCUUCCACUACAGGAGAUAGACGCUGAUGAAGCACCAGCAAGAGCUGGCUGUAUUCUGGCUGGUCUGGGGUUCACUCCACAGAAGAAUGAGAUUUUAUCUGGCUAAGACACUAUUUGCAAGGGGAAGGCGUGGGUGUUUUUUCAGAAUCAGGCUUGCUAUCUUUUAGCUGCCAUAACUUGAAUUCCGUGGAUACAAUUUCAAUGAUUUUCUGAUUUUCUGAAAGCUUAGAAAGAGACCUUUCAAAUGGUGUCAUCAAAGUUUAUAUUUGAGAGAUAAAAGUAUUUGCCAAUUUGGCCAUACCAUGGUCCAAGGCGGAAAAAUUACAAAUUAGGGCACCAACAAAAUUUUGAAUCGAAACUCAUCAUUUGAAAGGUCUCUUUCUAAGCUUUCAGAAAAUCAUAACAUUUUUGACAUUGGAUCAACGGUAUUAAAGUUAAUGGCUGUUGAAAAAUCAGGUUUGUUUUUAGAGCUAUCUUUUAGAGGCCAUAACUUGUGUUAGGAACGUCCUAUUUAAAAAACUCAAAGACGCAUUCUGUAACUUUGAGAAAGCACUAUUGUAUAAAGUGUCCUAAAACCGCUAAUUGCUCGCAGUGCCAAAGCUCACUAAUUUGUGUGUCCUAUGCUGUAGAUGUGGGAACACGGAACCAUCGUCGGUUGUGUGCAGUGUAUUAUAGUCGUACCCCCGGGUUUGAAGUGAUCCAUGGACUACUGGACCAUGUCAUGCAGCUGCUGGAGGUGUCCUUCACCAAAGAUGGCAGUAGAUACUUCCUCAAGGCAGCUGAAGACUCUACCUAGUUCCCGGGCCGUUGUGCAGAGGUGUGUGUACGUGGGAAGGUUAUUGGGAAACUGGGCGUGCUCCAUCCUGGUGUGUCUGUUGUGCAGCUCUAGUGUGUGUGAGACUGGGAGGUGUGUCUGGUGCAGCUGUUCUCACGGCCUCCUCCAACCAGUACCUGCCCUCCGUACUCUCCAGGGAGAACCUAUCUCCUCAGGUUAGUGUGUGUUCAUCAUGACCUCCUUGACAGUAUGUACCCAUGCAGGUAUGUGUUUAGGGUCAAUACUGCAAGGUCAUGUACUGUACAUAAUUAUGUCAUGUACAUAUAAUUAGCCUGGAUCCCAGGGUAGGCCGGUGAACGAGGCUGGUACAUAUAAUCCUUUUGUUUGUAGUUAGGGUGCUUUAGUAACCAUUAAAGAUCUAACAUACUCUUCUUGAGGGGAGGGGUAGUUAAACACAUUAUUUUAAACAGCCAUAACUUUAUUACCGUUGAUCCAAUGUCAAAAUUUAUAUUAUUUGCUUAAAGCUUAGAAACAGACUUUCAAAUAAUGUGCUUCAAUCCAAAAUUUCUUUGGUGUAAUUUUUCGGCCUUGGACCAUCAGCUAUUAUCCUUGGUUGUGUCCAAAUUAGUUUUGUAGCUCAAAAUGACGUUUGAAAGGUAUAUCUUAUAUACCCUUUGAUUCCUUGUUAAAAACCGCUUCUAUCUAUAUAUGCUGUAGAGCUGGUAAGCUCCACAUUUUGUGAUCUUGUGUGUGGGCAUUGGGUGCAUGAUGUGAGAUCAAUUUCAACAUGGUAUAGAGUGUUGUUAACAUGGAGGGUGACAUUGUAUGAGUGUAAUAACGUGCGACCCCCCCCCCCCCCACACACACCUUUAGGCCUACUAUGCUGCUCACUUUAACUGACUUUUACGAUUAUUCUAGUAUUCAUAAUGUAAGUACGUACAUAUUGUAUACCAGUACAUGUGUUGUGUGUGGUGUCCCUAUAGUUGAGUGUGAGAGGCCAUAUAUAUAAGGAGGACAUACGUGCGUCGAGGCUGGAGGUGGCCCGUGUGCUGAGGGAGAGAAAUGAGUACAAAGAGAAGUACCUCUCACUAU